AACGGCCAUACCAUGCUGAAUAUACCGGUUCUCGUUAGAUCACCGAAGUCAAGCAUCAUUGGGCGUGGUCAGUACUUGGAUGGGUGACCACCUAGGAACACCGCGUGCCGUU
rnacentral:rRNA from 1 species